rnacentral:rRNA from 1 species
GACGAACGCUGGCGGCGUGCUUAACACAUGCAAGUCGAACGGAAAGGCCCUGCUUUUGUGGGGUGCUCGAGUGGCGAACGGGUGAGUAACACGUGAGUAACCUGCCCUUGACUUUGGGAUAACUUCAGGAAACUGGGGCUAAUACCGGAUAGGAGCUCCUGCUGCAUGGUGGGGGUUGGAAAGUUUCGGCGGUUGGGGAUGGACUCGCGGCUUAUCAGCUUGUUGGUGGGGUAGUGGCUUACCAAGGCUUUGACGGGUAGCCGGCCUGGGAGGGUGACCGGCCACAUUGGGACUGAGAUACGGCCCAGACUCCUACGGGAGGCAGCAGGGGGGAAUAUGGCACAAUGGGCGGAAGCCUGAUGCAGCAACGCCGCGUGCGGGAUGACGGCCUUCGGGUUGUAAACCGCUUUCGCCUGUGACGAAGCGUGAGUGACGGUAAUGGGUAAAGAAGCACCGGCUAACUACGUG